rnacentral:rRNA from 1 species
AAUAGAUACCCGGGUAGUCCACGCCGUAAACGAUGAAUGCUAGGUGUUAGGGGUUUCGAUACCCUUGGUGCCGAAGUUAACACAUUAAGCAUUCCGCCUGGGGAGUACGGUCGCAAGACUGAAACUCAAAGGAAUUGACGGGGACCCGCACAAGCAGUGGAGUAUGUGGUUUAAUUCGAAGCAACGCGAAGAACCUUACCAGGUCUUGACAUCCCUCUGAAUCCACUAGAGAUAGUGGCGGCCUUCGGGACAGAGGAGACAGGUGGUGCAUGGUUGUCGUCAGCUCGUGUCGUGAGAUGUUGGGUUAAGUCCCGCAACGAGCGCAACCCUUGAUCUUAGUUGCCAGCAUUUCGGAUGGGCACGUCUAGGAUGACUGCCGGUGACAAACCGGAGGAAGGUGGGGAUGACGUCAAAUCAUCAUGCCCCUUAUGACCUGGGCUACACACGUACUACAAUGGCCGAUACAACGGGAAGCGAAACCGCGAGGUGGAGCCAAUCCUAUCAAAGUCGGUCUCAGUUCGGAUUGCAGGCUG